rnacentral:rRNA from 1 species
UACGGGGGGGGCAAGCGUUGUUCGGAAUUACUGGGCGUAAAGGGCGUGUAGGCGGGAAGGCAAGUCAGAUGUGAAAUCCCCAGGCUCAACCUGGGAACUGCAUUUGAAACUCCCUUUCUUGAGUACCGGAGAGGAAAGUGGAAUUCCUGGUGUAGAGGUGAAAUUCGUAGAUAUCAGGAGGAACACCAGUGGCGAAGGCGGCUUUCUGGACGGUAACUGACGCUGAGACGCGAAAGCGUGGGGAGCAAACAGG